rnacentral:rRNA from 1 species
UACGUAGGGGGCAAGCGUUGUCCGGAAUCAUUGGGCGUAAAGAGCGUGUAGGCGGCCAGAUAAGUCCGCUGUGAAAUCUCGAGGCUCAACUUCGAGCUGUCGGUGGAAACUGUCUGGCUAGAGUCCGGAAGAGGAGAAUGGAAUUCCUGGUGUAGCGGUGAAAUGCGCAGAUAUCAGGAGGAACACCAAUGGCGAAGGCAGCUCACUGGGACGGUAUUGACGCUGAGAUGCGAAAGCGUGGGGAGCAAACAGG